rnacentral:rRNA from 1 species
GGCAGUCGAACGCGUUGGCCCAAUUGAUUGAYGGUGCUUGCAYCUGAUUGAUUUUGGUCGCCAACGAGUGGCGGACGGGUGAGUAACACGUAGGUAACCUGCCCAGAAGCGGGGGACAACAUUUGGAAACAGAUGCUAAUACCGCAUAACARCGUUGUUCGCAUGAACAACRCUUAAAAGAUGGCUUCUCGCUAUCACUUCUGGAUGGACCUGCGGUGCAUUAGCUUGUUGGUGGGGUAAYGGCCUACCAAGGCGAUGAUGCAUAGCCGAGUUGAGAGACUGAUCGGCCACAAUGGGACUGAGACACGGCCCAUACUCCUACGGGAGGCAGCAGUAGGGAAUCUUCCACAAUGGGCGCAAGCCUGAUGGAGCAACACCGCGUGAGUGAAGAAGGGUUUCGGCUCGUAAAGCUCUGUUGUUAAAGAAGAACACGUAUGAGAGUAACUGUUCAUACGUUGACGGUAUUUAACCAGAAAGUCACGGCUAACUACGUGCCAGCAGCCGGCGGUAAUAA